UACGGAGGGUGCAAACGUUGCUCGGAAUCAUUGGGCGUAAAGCGAACGUAGGCGGCUUUGUAAGUCGGGUGUGAAAGCCCUCGGCUCAACCGAGGAAGUGCAUUCGAAACUGCAUGGCUAGAGUAUCGGAGAGGAUAGCGGAAUUCCCGGUGUAGAGGUGAAAUUCGUAGAUAUCGGGAGGAACACCAGUGGCGAAGGCGGCUAUCUGGACGAAUACUGACGCUGAAGUUCGAAAGCGUGGGAGCAAACAGG
rnacentral:rRNA from 1 species